rfam:Morus notabilis contig12411, whole genome shotgun sequence.
AGUCGCGUGGUAAGCACAGAGCGAACUAUUCUUUCGCCUUUUACUAAAGAAUACCGUGUGCUUGCCACAUAAAGCGACAUACUCAAAUUUUUUAAAGGGGUUUCUUCUAUUUGGU